UAGCUACUCCUCAGCAUGGGUAGUAGAAGCUAGUUUGGCUGUGACAACUGCGAUUUUCACCACCAACUACCAAACUUUGCCAAUAAGCCAGUGAACACACCGGUAAAGGCAACACUUCUGCAUUAUGGGCAUCCUUUCACCCCUUUUCCCUCAGCCAGCCAUAGCAGGGGACCGCCACUACCCACCAGGUUCCCUCUCCAUGCCAACAGACCCAUAGACCUGCUGCAUGGUGAGUCUGGGUGGGUCACUGUAAGACAGACACUCACGCACCUGCCAGGGCUGGAACCCGCCCUGAGGAUAAACGGGACCUUAUUACGACCCCACCGGGGGCAGACACGGAGAGCAAGACGACAACGGGGAGGGGGGGGCCCGGCCCAGGGGUCCCCACCCGUCAUCGUCCCCCCCGCCGAGGCCGCCCCACACCACAGGCGCCCCCGUUGUGCCGAGGGGGUAACCCCGUGCGCCCCCCCGCCAGCUGCCCCCCACAGGUAAACGGCAACAGGCGGCGUCCCCUGCCCGGCACCACACACCCGAGAUCGCUACCUCAGGAACGCUCUGUGGGCUCCGGCCGCCUGGCUCCCGCCGCUGCCGCUGGGGCGGAUCAGCUGAUAUUUACCUGUGAGGUGGAGGUAACAGUUCACUGGAUUAAGAGGCUGAACAGUCUGGCCAAUAGACAACAGCAAUUGAAGAUACUAUUCUAAGAAGUUUGCAGUGCUUUAAGUCCCCAUCCCACUGGCUCAGAUAUCACCAGGAAUCAACAGAAAAAGCAGUCUGCUUCCAGCCUGUGCAGCCAGAGAUGCUGCUAACAAAAACUAAACCACCACCCAAGGAGCGGUAAUGAAUGUGCCAGGACAUGGUCUCAGAAACACGGAAGUUCUGCAGGACAAGGCUGGCAUUGCCUCCACACUGUGAAGCAUCUUCAUCUGUAAAGGUGAUCCCGUCACCACUGACCACAGAUACGUGGUUACAGUCUGAUGGAGGUGCAGCUACAGGAUGCUCCAAAUCCAGGGAAGAGACAUAGGAGAGACAAGAGGAAAACGCAUACCGCUGUCACUAUUGAGCCUUGAAGCAUUACCCAAUGGGAUGUUUUCUUCAGAUGGCCUUUUCCUUUGGGGAAGAGCGAAAUCAAAGAGAGAAUAUGCUGAUUCAGGUGAAUCCUUCAGGUUUUAGCAGCAAUGGACAAGCUUCAGAGUUUCCCCCUGCUGUAAGAAGGACAGUGCCAGCAGCUUAACCACACUCCUCUCCUCCACUGUUGGCUUUGUCUAGUAGUGCCUGACAUGAUGGCUAUAGAGCUGUACCUGGAACUUUCUGGAAAAAUUUCCAAUUAUCACAUCUUCCUCCAUGGCAGUAACAUUAAGAACACUAACAGAGAUAGGCAGCUAGCAUUUUCAGUGCUGCCUUAUUAGUGCUGGCUUGGUUUAGACAACGCACUGGGUGAUAUCCCAGUAGCUAGUUUGUAUUAGAGUUGCUCUAGCUGAGAAAGAUACUUUACCUGUAGAAAGAAUAAAACAUCCUACAUGAAAAACAGAAAUCCUUUGUGCACACCUUCUCUGUUAGGAUAAAAGCAAGCAAAGUUGAAGGUAAGGAAUCAUUAUAACGUUAAAAAACAUUCAAUGCCCAUAUACAAACCUUAACACAUUUGAAACAUUCUUUUUUUCCGCCAUAUGUCAGAUAUCUAUUCACUUUUCCUCUCUUUAUUACUACGUAAAUGAGGACAUUUGCAUGAAAACAAGU